rnacentral:tRNA from 1 species
GUGUAUGUAAUUUAAAAAAAAUAUCAAGCCGUGACCCUGACAUUAGGAAUAANCCUCAUACACCGN